rnacentral:rRNA from 1 species
CAGUAGCCGCGGGAAUACGGAGGGUGCAAGCGUUAAUCGGAAUUACUGGGCGUAAAGGGCGCGUAGGUGGUUAUGUAAGUGAGAUGUGAAAUCCCCGGGCUCAACCUGGGAACUGCAUCUUAUACUGCGUAGCUGGAGUGCAGUAGAGGUGAGUGGAAUUUCCGGUGUAGCGGUGAAAUGCGUAGAUAUCGGAAGGAACACCUGUGGCGAAAGCGGCUCACUGGACCAUUUCUGACGCUGAUGCACGAAAGCUAGGGGAGCAAACAGGAUUAGAUACCCCUGUAGUCCCUGUCUCUUAUAC